GACGAACGCUGGCGGCGCGCCUAACACAUGCAAGUCGAACGAGCGAGAGAGAGCUUGCUUUCUCGAGCGAGUGGCGAACGAGUGAGUAACGCGUGAGGAACCUGCCUCAAAGAGGGGGACAACAGUUGGAAACGACUGCUAAUACCGCAUAAGCCCACGGCUCGGCAUCGAGCAGAGGGAAAAGGAGCAAUCCGCUUUGAGAUGGCCUCGCGUCCGAUUAGCUAGUUGGUGAGGUAAUGGCCCACCAAGGCGACGAUCGGUAGCCGGACUGAGAGGUUGAACGGCCACAUUGGGACUGAGACACGGCCCAGACUCCUACGGGAGGCAGCAGUGGGGAAUAUUGCACAAUGGGGGAAACCCUGAUGCAGCGACGCCGCGUGGAGGAAGAAGGUCUUCGGAUUGUAAACUCCUGUUGUUGAGGAAGAUAAUGACGGUACUCAACAAGAAAGUGACGGCUAACUACGUGCCAGCAGCCGCGGUAAAACGUAGGUCACAAGCGUUGUCCGGAAUUACUGGGUGUAAAGGGAGCGCAGGCGGGAAGACAAGUUGGAAGUGAAAUCCAUGGGCUCAACCCAUGAACUGCUUUCAAAACUGUUUUUCUUGAGUAGUGCAGAGGUAGGCGGAAUUCCCGGUGUAGCGGUGGAAUGCGUAGAUAUCGGGAGGAACACCAGUGGCGAAGGCGGCCUACUGGGCACCAACUGACGCUGAGGCUCGAAAGUGUGGGUAGCAAACAGGAUUAGAUACCCUGGUAGUCCACACUGUAAACGAUGAUUACUAGGUGUUGGAGGAUUGACCCCUUCAGUGCCGCAGUUAACACAAUAAGUAAUCCACCUGGGGAGUACGACCGCAAGGUUGAAACUCAAAGGAAUUGACGGGGGCCCGCACAAGCAGUGGAGUAUGUGGUUUAAUUCGACGCAACGCGAAGAACCUUACCAAGUCUUGACAUCCCUUGACGAUGCUGGAAACAGUAUUUCUCUUCGGAGCAAGGAGACAGGUGGUGCAUGGUUGUCGUCAGCUCGUGUCGUGAGAUGUUGGGUUAAGUCCCGCAACGAGCGCAACCCUUAUGGUCAGUUACUACGCAAGAGGACUCUGGCCAGACUGCCGUUGACAAAACGGAGGAAGGUGGGGAUGACGUCAAAUCAUCAUGCCCUUUAUGACUUGGGCUACACACGUACUACAAUGGCGUUAAACAAAGAGAAGCAAGACCGCGAGGUGGAGCAAAACUCAGAAACAACGUCCCAGUUCGGACUGCAGGCUGCAACUCGCCUGCACGAAGUCGGAAUUGCUAGUAAUCGCAGAUCAGCAUGCUGCGGUGAAUACGUUCCCGGGCCU
rnacentral:rRNA from 1 species